rnacentral:rRNA from 1 species
AGCUAUAAGGAGUUAUUUAUAGUUAAACCUGCCCAAUGUAUAUACAUAUUAAUGGCCGCGGUAUUUUGACCGUGCUAAGGUAGCGUAAUAAGUUGGCUUUUAAAUGGAGUCAGGUAUGAAUGGAUAAACUGGGAUUAGCUGUCUUACAUAUGUUUUUUCGAAUUUACUGUUUAGGUGAAAAAGCCUAAUGGAAAUAAGGGGACGAGAAGACCCUUAAAAUUAUAUCUAAAAUAAUUAUAUUUAUUACGAUUUUGUUGGGGCGACAUAGAAAUAAUAAUAACUUUCUGUAAUAACAUUAGCCGAACUUAUUAAGAUAAAAUUAAUUACUUAAGGGAUAACAGCAUAAUUCUAUAGUUGAGUUUGUGACCUCGAUGUUGGACUAGGAAGCUUACAGGUUAGAUGCCUGUUGUGGGGAUUCUGUUCGAAUUUUAACUCCU